UACAGAGGUCCCGAGCGUUGUCCGGAAUUAUUGGGCGUAAAGGGCUCGUAGGCGGUUUGUCGCGUCGGGAGUGAAAACCUUGGGCUUAACUCAGGGCUUGCUUUCGAUACGGGCAGACUAGAGGUAUGCAGGGGAGAACGGAAUUCCUGGUGUAGCGGUGAAAUGCGCAGAUAUCAGGAGGAACACCGGUGGCGAAGGCGGUUCUCUGGGCAUGAUCUGACGCUGAGGAGCGAAAGUGUGGGGAGCGAACAGG
rnacentral:rRNA from 1 species